GUCUUUUUGAUAANUAANUUUAAAGUCUAGUCUGCCCAAUGNANNAUUANUUGAAUGGCCGCGGNNUAUUUUGACUGUGCAAAGGUAGCAUAAUAAUUAGUUUUUUAAUUGAAAGCUGGUAUGAAUGGCUGAACGAGAAAAUUACUGUCUCAAAUUNAAAUUUAUUAAAAUUUUAUUUUUAAGUUAAAAAGCUUAGAUAUAAUUAAAAGACGAGAAGACCCUAUAGAGUUUNAAUAAUUCAAUUANAUUNNUUNUANUUUUAGNAAUUNUNNNAUUUAAUUNAGUUUAAUUAUUUUAUUGGGGUGAUAUAUAAAUUUAAUAAACUUUANUNAAAUNUUUUUACAUUUUUUUAUGAUUAAGUGAUCCAUUAUUNUAUGAUUAUAAGAUUUAAUUACCUUAGGGAUAACAGCGUAAUCUUUUUAAAGAGUUCUAAUCGAAAAAAAGGAUUGCGACCUCGAUGUUGGAUUAAAAUUAAUGUUUGGUGUAGAAGCUNAANAUAAUUAGGUCUGUUCGACCUUUAAAAUUUUACAUGAUCUGAGUUUAAAUCGGUGUGAGCCAGGUUGUUUUCUAUCUUUAAUAA
rnacentral:rRNA from 1 species